rnacentral:rRNA from 1 species
UACGUAGGGUGCAAGCGUUGUCCGGAAUUAUUGGGCGUAAAGAGCUCGUAGGCGGCUUGUUGCGUCGGAUGUGAAAGCCCGGGGCUUAACCCCGGGUCUGCAUUCGAUACGGGCAGGCUAGAGUGUGGUAGGGGAGAUCGGAAUUCCUGGUGUAGCGGUGAAAUGCGCAGAUAUCAGGAGGAACACCGGUGGCGAAGGCGGAUCUCUGGGCCAUUACUGACGCUGAGGAGCGAAAGUGUGGGGAGCGAACAGG